rnacentral:rRNA from 1 species
CUACGGGAUGCACCAGUGAGGAAUAUUGCACAAUGGAGGAAACUCUGAUGCAGCAACGCCGCGUGGAGGAUGACGCAUUUCGGUGUGUAAACUCCUUUUAUAUGUCAAGAAAAUGACGGUAGCAUAUGAAUAAGCACCGGCUAACUCCGUGCCAGCAGCCGCGGUAAUACGGAGGGUGCAAGCGUUACUCGGAAUCACUGGGCGUAAAGGACGCGUAGGCGGGAUACCAAGUCAGGUGUGAAAUCCUACAGCUUAACUGUAGAACUGCACUUGAAACUGGUAACCUAGAGUAUGGGAGGGGGAGAUGGAAUUAGUGGUGUAGGGGUAAAAUCCGUAGAUAUCACUAGGAAUACCUAAAGCGAAGGCGAUCUCCUGGAACAUAACUGACGCUAAGGCGUGAAAGCGUGGGGAGCAAACAGGAUUAGAUACCCCAGUAGUC